CAGAGCCCGACGAGGCACUGAUCCCGAGGUGGUGGAAAAAGAAAUACUUCCAGGGCUCGUUUUCGAACUGCCCGAUCGGAGUGGGCGACUCCGAGUUUGAGGCAAUCAAGGCUCCAGUUAGUCGACUAAAUUUUUCCGGAAAGCACGAGCAAUUAUUUCAGUGGAAUCGAGAGUGCCAAGCUUUUGCUCGAAUGCCAUCAAACAGGCAAUUGCAACACUGUUCUUGCAUGGUCAUGCACCAUGCAUUGUAGAAAGAAUAUACCCACUAUUCUUUAUAUGACGUGGCGUUUUUA